rfam:Drosophila sechellia strain Rob3c scaffold_5592 genomic scaffold, whole genome shotgun sequence.
CAAUCGGUCCUUUUCAGGACCACUAUUUACGACUCAAAGGAGGAAG